UACGAAGGGGGCUAGCGUUGUUCGGAAUUACUGGGCGUAAAGCGCGUGUAGGCGGGCCGUUAAGUCGGGGGUGAAAGCCCAGAGCUCAACUCUGGAAUUGCCCUCGAUACUGGCGGCCUGGAGCAUGAUAGAGGCGAGUGGAAUUGCGAGUGUAGAGGUGAAAUUCGUAGAUAUUCGCGGGAACACCAGUGGCGAAGGCGACUCGCUGGAUCAUUGCUGACGCUGAGACGCGAAAGCAGGGGGAGCAAACAGG
rnacentral:rRNA from 1 species